ensembl:lncRNA
GGAGGCAAGAGCACAGCCUUGACUAGUUACUGGGCUUUCUGCAGCUAGCUUGUCCAGAAGACUGCGGCUCCAAGAGGUGGUGGGUGGCAGAUGAUGCCACUGUGGUUCAGGGUGCUGAGGUCACCUGUCCAAGGUCAGGCAGCUAAAACCUGGCCCGGGUGGAAUGAAAACAUAAGAAGAACCUGACAGGCCAUGGGGAACACAGCCUAAUUAGCGAGGUGUCCCAGGCGCGGUGAUAACAGGUUGAAAGGAUGUGUGACCAAGCGGCGGUCCUGAAAGCUCAGGCCGUGUGGAUCUCCAGAAUUCUGAGGCGCCCAGCUCAGUGAGGCUCCUCACUGCCCCCCUUCCCAAUCAUCAAAAAUCAUUCCAAGCCCACAGUGUGCCCUCCGGGGCAGGCCAGAGACGCGUCUGCAUGCCAACACCUCUGGGAACUAAAAGGCCCUCCCCCAGUGGACCAGCACUGAAUUCCAUGGGUCACAAACUGUGUGCAGUGUCGCAACUGUGGUUCAAGGGGAACUCCUGGCUGAAGCCCACAAGGGGCAGGCAGGGGCAUCAAAGCAGCUGCCCUCUGCUCCCAGGGGACCUGGAAGAAAGCGGUCUUGACCUUUGCGUGACCCAUGGCCCAUGGGUGACAGAUGUCGUGCUAUGAACUGUGCCUUCACCCUAAGGCUGAGCAGCUGGGCAGAAGGGAGACACGUGAAUGGGCCGAGGCUGUGAGGGAGCAUGAGAAAGCACUGCCGUCCACACCAACGUCUCAUAACCAACAAGGGGCAUGUGGACCACCAGUCAGUGGCAUGGGCAGACGCUCCCAGAUUCUGGAGACACGGCCCUCUCUCCUAUCUCCUAAGGAUGCCUGUAACAUGUCCAAGGGCUUUCCCUUGCAUCCCUGCCCAGAAGCCCCCGAAACAGGCAGUCAAAGGUGUCCCUACUUGACAGGAAUAUCAGGCUCCCAAAGGCAAAGCGUCUGCUGGAGCUGACCAAGGCAGCCUGUGAGAAGAAGCUGCGUCCGGGCUGUCUCUUCUAUUCCAGUUCCCACGUGAGGACGCCACCUGUCUUCCUCCUGGGGUUGUCAUGGGGUCCAUCAGAAGUAGGGGUGGAGAAACUGAGAGUGAGCGAUAGAGGAAAGGGAACAGGAAAGGAGUUCUUGCUGAGCGCCUGAUGCUGAAGACUAUAUACAGGUAUAGUCUUGUCACUUAG